AGUGAACGCUGGCGGCGUGCUUAACACAUGCAAGUCGAACGAGAACGGGCUAUAGCUUGCUAUAGUUGUCAGCUAAGUGGCGCACGGGUGAGUAAUGUAUAGGUAAUAUGCCUCUUACUAAGGGAUAACAAAUGGAAACGUUUGCUAAUACCUUAUACUCCUUUUAAACAGAAGUUUAAAAGGGAAAGAUUUAUUGGUAAGAGAUUAGCCUGUAUUGUAUCAGUUAGUUGGUGGGGUAAUGGCUUACCAAGACUAUGACACAUAACUGGUUUGAGAGGAUGUUCAGUCACACUGGAACUGAGACACGGUCCAGACUCCUACGGGAGGCAGCAGUGGGGAAUAUUGCACAAUGGACGAAAGUCUGAUGCAGCAACGCCGCGUGUAGGAUGACACAUUUCGGUGCGUAAACUCCUUUUAUAUGAGAAGAUAAUGACGGUAUUAUAUGAAUAAGCACCGGCUAACUCCGUGCCAGCCGCCGCAGUAA
rnacentral:rRNA from 1 species